rnacentral:lncRNA from 1 species
AAAAGGGACAGCUCCAAAGGCUUUCACAGAAGGGGAGCCUCUCUAAGAAGUGCUCCUGUGUUUGGGCAAUGGAGGCAAGUCAGGAAGACAGGGGGAUGGAAGAAGAAAGUAAUUUUUUGAAUGUCACAUUUUCACCAAAAUGGCAUCUGGGAACUUUCAAGAUCAUCUGACUAAUACCAGGUUGUAUUCGUUAUUUGCAAAGAUGGAGGUGGAAUCUCCUUUGAAGUAGUACAACCAAAUGAUGUCUGUAGCCUUAAAAUGGGGUAACAAGAGGCAAAGAAAUCUGGGGAGAGGAAACGUGUCCUGCCAGGGGCUGAGGGUCUUUUUUGCUCUCCUCCUGACAGUCUCACAGCCAGCCACGUCGUGGUAGGGUCCCACAGAGCUGCCCAGCAUGGGGCAGGCUGGCCAGAGCAGCUGGCUCUUUGCAACCACCCAGAUUGCCUUUGCUGGGAAGCUCAGGCUCAUUUGCACACUGGCAUAACUCCACGUCACUGACCAGCCCAUGGGCAACAGGACUCACAGCCAGGAUGGGUUCUCCCUGGGGCUGGCACGACUCUGUCACUGCACAUGUGCAUUUUCCUGAUCCUGGGCAAGUUACUGAAACUUUCUCAACCCCAGUUCUCCAGCUAUAAAAUAGGAACACCCCCUACAUCACAGGAUUGUCACAUAAGGGAAAAUGAGGCUAGAGAACCUGGGGUAACGUGGAAUUGACUCUCAGUGAGCCUGGUUCCCUUUCUCUCGCAAUAAAAGCCGGCACCACCUGCUCCAAAGGAGGAGGAUGGAUAUUCUUCUGUUGUGGGUUUCAAUUCCAUGCUGUCAAAUAACCUCUUUAGUCCAAUGCUCUGCCACUUUCAGCCAGGCAUAAGCAAGACAAUUGUCACUGAACAUUAUUGGGAGUAACAUGCAAUGGCACAUGCACUAAUGCGAACAUCAGAAGGAAGACCCGGAGUCUAGUCUAGCCCUAUCACUUCUGCACAGCUUUGGCCUGAGUCACUUAACCCUUCCGAGUGCUGGUCUACUCAUCUGCUAAGUGGGACAAUCACUUCUGACAAGGCUGCUAGGAAGAUUACAUUGAGAGUGCACUGGUGAUUAUUCAGCAUGUCAGGGAGGGCCUACCACUCCGGGCCUCCACGGAGUGGAUGGCUAAGAUCCCCUGACUCCCAGUGCACACUCCUCACACAUGGCUGCACCUCUUUCGGCCUCAGGGGCCAGCGAGGAGCCUACCGACAAGGUGAGGUGAAGAGCGAAGAGAAUCAGUGAUGGAAAUGGAAGCCAGCAGUCAGGGCUUGCAAGCUCAGCCCUUCUCAGGUCCUCCAAGAAGUAAAUCAGCUGAGGGUCAGACCCCAAGGAGCUUCACGGCCAGCAACUCAGCCUGGUUUCCUCUCUUUUCCUCGCAUCACAUUCAGUGACCUAUCAGUCUAGAUAGAGGGUGCUUUUUCAAAUAAACCCUUUUCCAACUUGUCUAGGAGAACAAUCAUAGAUUUUGAUCCCAAAGUUAAAUUGGCCUGUCAGAUACAAAGCUUUCUGGAGCCAGCCAGCAUCUCAGGAUAUCCCACACUCCUCCCAAAUGCAUUACCACCCAGCAGGUAGUGUCAUCGCAGUUUCUCUGGUUUCAGAAUAAUAACUGGUGGGAAAUGCCCAUGGAAUUGACACUCAGCACUUUGAAGAUUUUAUCAGUUGGGUAAAUAUCACCCAGAAGACAGGAGAAACUGGGGUUCUGUUACGACAUCUACAACUAGAAGGAGUGCUGAUCACUUCUUUUCCCCAUAAGGUCUAGGAUCCUAUAACCACGACAGGAUCAGAGGCAACCUGGUGGUGAAAGGUAGACAAACCCAAACUCCUUACAUGCCCAGUUCAGCUGUCCUCACAAUCAUCCUACACAUCACAUGCAUCCUGCUCAAGAGCUCGUGGCCAGCCUCCUCCUUCCUACAGUGCCCUAAUGCCCUAGUGAAUCAAGCCCCACCACAGUGUGGACGCUCGUAACAUACCUGUGACUCCCCCCAGCAGCCUGGGAUCUUCCUUCCACUCCAUUCACGCUCAUCUCUGCUCGGGCUCCAAGCCUCCUGGGCCCAUUCACACCUCUGAGCCUUUGCUCAGGUAUUUCCCACUCUUGCUCUCAGUGGUCUGCCUUCUAUUUGUCUACCCCAACUCUAUGCCUCUUUCUAUACUUCCCCCGCUACUCCAACCUGCACUGGUCCCUUUCCUGAGCCUAACUGGCACUCACAUUUUGCACCAAGUUGGCACUUAAUUUUAAAUGGUCUUGUCUUGAAUAAUAUGCUAACCACCUCUUUCACCUCCUCCAGAACAGAAAAGGUGCCUUACACAGUGGAGAAGCCUUUAGAGCCAGAAAAAUCCUUGAUUGGAAAAAUCAGACUUUACCAGCAAUCACCACUGCCUUUGUCAACUCAAUCUCUCUGAGCCUCAGUUUCCAUCUCUGUAAAAUACGAAUUGUAAUCUUAAUCUCAAAGGGCUGUUAUAUGGCUUUAACAAGUUAAUAUCUAUAAAAAGCCUAGACUCAGUAACUAAUGCAUAGAAAGUAACCCCCAAAAGGUUAUUCCAGUUCCCCUUUGUUUCUUUUAUGUCUUGCAGAACCUAGCACAUUAUGGCAACACAAGACAUUUGGUAUAUGUUUGAUUCAUUUAUAAGUAGUAUAAAGAAAACCAGUAACUGGAGGGUCAUUAUACAAAGUAGCAGCAUGCGGUCAAAACACAUGGAUCUAUUUUUCAAUUACGGACAAAAAGUUGAGAUCUAUGGAGGGUAAAACAGUCUACUUUAACUAAAGAAGUUUUCAGGAUUACAAACUGCCAGUCUCUCUGUACUCAUCACUCAGCCAAGCAGAAGUUUCAGCACAAAUGUUCAUGCUGGCAAUUCAUACUACAUUCUUUCUUACAUAAGUUGUCUCCAUCCCCAAACUCCAUAAUAUGUAUGGUCCACAGAAAGUUCACUUCACGUGCUAAAUGUGGUACAAUCCUUGCUACUUCUUUAAAUCAAACACAGAGCAAAAUUUUUCUGGAGUUCUUUUUAAAAUUAUUUAGAAAGAAUGCCGAUCACUUCUUUUCUGAAGCAGAAUUUUUGUCAUUUAUCUAUAUAUGUAACAUAUAUAAAUAUAAUUGUAUAUAUAAUUAAAUUCGUCUUCUAAUAAGACCUUUCCUCCCCAGAUUGGAGACAACAUAGUAGACAACCAUGAAUAUUAGUGAGGUCAUUCAACCAAAAUCAUGCUGAGAAUAAUAUCCAAGUCCUGUGAGCAAUUAUGAAAUCCAUGCACCAAAGAUGAUGUUGGAUGUGGUGGUGUCCAGUGAGAUGAAAACUGGAGUGGAAUUCAGAUGGAGUUUCAGCAGAACCAUUUUCACCUGGUGGCCUUUUGGCCUUACUGUUCUUACAGUUUCUUCUCACUGUCUCUUUUUCACAUACUUGGCAUUUCUCUGGAGGAAAAUGUGUCUUGCCACUGCAUUCACUUUUCAGCUCGUGGCUCAUGCUACCAAAACAAUGGAAGUCAACAAAAGGCUUGAGACAUUGCUUCAGUGUGAAUAUAAACAAGCCUAGAAAUGUAAUUUUAGUUAGUGAUCAGAAUACAUAUCCGUGAAACUAAUCUUCUCCACGUCUCCCCACUUCCUGGUGGUGAGUUAGGCACCAACUCUUCCAGGUCAUCUAGCUAUAAUGUAAAACAUUACAGAACUAAAUGGGGACCCCAAGAGGUCAUCUAACCCAUGCCCCCAACUCUAUGCAAGAGAAAUGCUUGGCUAUCAGUGAGUUCCGCAUCAGCCUCGACAGUCUAAAAUGCUUGGUGUCAAAAGAACUGCUUGUCUAUUUGUUUUAGGCACCAAGGUGUUUCUCCUGUGCUCCCUGGAGACCAAAUGUAACUGGUCAGUGCCUUUAUCUCAGUGAUACACAUAACAACAGCUAUUAAGUGACCCCUAAUUCUUUUCCCCAAGUUAAACAACCCCAAAUCCACAAACCUUUCCUUAAAGGGCUUAUUGUUCAUCCUGUUAAACAUAUUGUUAAUAAGCUUUUCUGUACUUUUUGGAUUUCCCACAGUCUUUUUCCGCUAAUUCAAACACAGUGGUGUCAAAUAUUAAAUAGAGCUGAAGCAUUGCUUCCCAGACCUUCCACAUCAUUCCUAGUUUAACGCAGCUUGGUUAUCAUGCUUUCUUAAAAAUAAACAACACAAUACUCCUCCAGCUUGUGAUCCACUACGACUUCCAGAUCUAUCUCAGCUAUAAUUGUGCCUUGCCAGGUGAUGGCCAAUAAUACAAUCAACAUAAUCCAGUCAAGCAGAUUGAUGCUAAACCAUUGAUGACCACUGUCAUCACCUCUCAAAAAAGUAUUUCCUAGUCUGGUGUAAAGAAAGAUCAGGUAACCAAACGAUGUGUGUCGUUCACACAAUGUUUAAUAAAAUACAAAGCAUAGCAUUUUCUAACUUUUAGUUUGAAGACUCUUUCUCCUCCUGGUCUAUGCCUGAAAACUAACUUCUGGGUGACUUCAUAUGUGAUCACAGGGUAGAACUUGGAGAAAAUGAAACAGAUAUUUAACCUGCUUAUCCCAAACACUGCCCCUUUUCAGGAAACUUGGAGGUAACUGGGGUAACUUAGCAAUAAACCCCGCUGAAAGUUAUCCUGAGGUCUGAAAGUCACUGAUCCUCUCAGCACAAUGGAGUAUCCACUAACAAUGGCUAAAGAGCAUCUCUUCAAUAAACUUAGCUUGACUACUACCACCUAUCAUGACUAGCUCAUCGACCACCCUUCAGGAUCAUUUCAUGUGCAACUAGUAAGAAGGUUUCAAUUCAGUAGUAGGUCUGGCAUCAGUAAUCUUCUCCACCAUCCAAGGAAGAACAUGUUAUCUUACUGGUUGUUUUGGGAGGUGAAGUAAGAAGUUGGGAAAGUGUGAUUCUGAAUAUGAAGAAUCUGAGUACUUAGGAAGAAAUAUAUCUCAGCAACAUCCUCAACAUUCCAUAAUUAACCACUUUAAGGAGCCACAGCCAUUAAAGAAUCUGUGCUGACCCCAAAGAGACCAUUUCUCUAAUGGCAACAACUCCACAUCUCCCAAGUUGGGCCCCACUCAUUGUCUCCUAUCAUUUGUCUCAUACAGAUGAAACUCUACCAUCUAUGUUCACUUAACUCAUAAGACCCAAGUUGCUAGAGAUGAAUAAUAUUAGUCAUGAUGUCCACAAUGGAGAGUCGCUGUUAUGCAUUGCUGGAUUAUUCAUAGACACUUCUGGUAAACAUGGCACUACUGCAGUUUGGACUCUGUACCAAAACUAGAAAAACUAGUAAACAGCUUUCCAAAAUCUUGUGGUGAGAUUUUUCUGGCUGUGAAACAUUUGUUGCAUUUGGCCAUGAAAUAGUUUACAGUACUGAUCAUGAAAUGCAUCAGUAGCCUUUCACCUGGUAAUGUGAAAUUCUCUUUCCAUAGUCCUGAAGCUUAGAAAAUGCCCUAUUACCACCACCACCACCACCCCCAACUGAGCAGUGCAAUACUCUCAUUUCUAAAUUAGGGAUCAGCAAACUAUGUCUUGUGGGCCAAAUCUGGCCAACUGCUUAUUUUUGUAAAUAAAGUUUUAUUGGAACACAGCCAUGCCCAUUCCUGUACAUAUCCUCUACAGCUGUUUUCAUGCUUCACCCAGAGCUGAGUAGUUGUGACAGAUGUUUGCCUUACAAAGCCUUAAAUAUUUACUAUCUGGUGUGUUACAGGAGAAAUUUGCUGAUCCCCAUUAUAAAUGAUAAGGCAAAAAAAUUUCUUAUUCAGAAUAACCUCCUCUCCAACCCAACAAAAGAAAACAAAACCAGAAAACAACCAUGACCCCAGCGAGUAGUGUUCGCAUACUUAAAAGCCAGCCUAACUCUCUUACAAAGUAUACUCUGAAAUAAGAUGCAUACAAAACAUAAAAUACUAUUUGAUGGCACAGUAGGGUGACUGUAGUCAGUGGUAGCUUAACUGAAUAUUUUAAAAUAAUGUAAAGAGUGUAAUCAGAUUGUUCAUAACUCAAGGGAUAAAUGCUUAAGGGGCCGGAUACCCCAUUCUUUAUGAGUGCUUAUGUUCACAUUGCAUGCCUGUAUCGAAACAUCUCAUGUACCCCAUAAAUAUCUAC